GAUGAACGCUGGCGGCGUGCCUAAUACAUGCAAGUCGAGCGAACGGACGAGAAGCUUGCUUCUCUGAUGUUAGCGGCGGACGGGUGAGUAACACGUGGAUAACCUACCUAUAAGACUGGGAUAACUUCGGGAAACCGGAGCUAAUACCGGAUAAUAUUUUGAACCGCAUGGUUCAAAAGUGAAAGACGGUCUUGCUGUCACUUAUAGAUGGAUCCGCGCUGCAUUAGCUAGUUGGUAAGGUAACGGCUUACCAAGGCAACGAUGCAUAGCCGACCUGAGAGGGUGAUCGGCCACACUGGAACUGAGACACGGUCCAGACUCCUACGGGAGGCAGCAGUAGGGAAUAUUGCGCAAUGGGCGAAAGCCUGACGGAGCAAUGCCGCGUGAGUGAUGAAGGUCUUCGGAUCGUAAAACUCUGUUAUUAGGGAAGAACAUAUGUGUAAGUAACUGCGCACAUCUUGACGGUACCUAAUCAGAAAGCCCCGGCUAACUACGUG
rnacentral:rRNA from 1 species